rnacentral:lncRNA from 1 species
AAAAACAAGAAGCUGUCUAUAUUUUGUAUAUAUAUACAUAGCUUUUAUAGCACACCACAACUCACAACAACAUACCGAGUGAAAUUCCACAAGUGAUCAGUUUCUGUGUAGGGUAGACUGUACGCAGAUCGUCGCUCGUCGCUCGAUUUACUUUUAUAGAACACAACCAACAAAAAUUUCUUCAAUAUACCUUCACUUCAUUUCUCAAAUCCUGUUCUUGUUUUCUCCAUGGAUAACAUGAAUAAGAACCUUGAAGUAGUUAUAGUAAUGGUUCCAUUUCCAGCACAAAGCCAUCUCAAUCAACUGCUUCAAUUUGCUUUUUUAAUCUCCUCAUCCCACAAUCUUCCUGUUUCCUUUGUUGGCUCAGCUAGUCAUAAUCACCAAGCUCGCGUUCGAUCCAACGCGGCGUUAAAUCCAUCAUACAUAGCCAAAAUCCACUUCCAUGACAUCCCAACACCUGAUUUUGACUCACCUGCACCUGAUCCUAAUGCAUUGAGCAAAUUUCCAGCUCAACUCAUACCAUCUUAUAAUGCUUGCACGCUUCUUCGCGAGCCUAUCGCUUUGUUACUUGGUGAACUCUCGUCUAAAUCAAGACGAGUUGUCGUUGUUCAUGAUGCUUUAAUGUCCUAUAAUGUUCAGGAUGAUUGUUCCUUGCAUAAUACUGAGUCUUAUGUAUUUAACUGUGUUUCUGUUUUCUUUAUGUAUUGUAGUUUUGUAUGUAUACCUAAUGGUUUGCCUAUUCCACUUGAUGAAGAUUUACUUAAAAAGGUACCUAAACUUGAAGCUGAUGCACCAGAUGAGAUCAAUAAGAUAGUGGAUUUUCAACUUCAGUAUAAGGAUAUUAGAGCUGGUGAUUUAUACAAUUCAAACAAAGUACUUGAAGGUACUGUUACGGUUCGACUUGAUUUUCUACCGUCAUUAGAAUUACCUUUCUCGAUGGAAAAUGUUUCGUAUUUGGUUAAAUCGAGUUUGAAGGGGAGCCUUGGAGUAACUGGUAAAGUUGUUGCCAUGUAACCAGGAGGUGCAAGGUAAGGCUGCGUACAAUGCACCCUUGAGGUGGGGCCCGCGCAUAGCGGUCGCUUUAGUGCACCGGGCUGCCCUUUUUAGUCUGUUCAUAUUAGAAGUCAUAGUAUUGUUCCUGUAGUUUCUUGAUUUCUGCCACUAUUUGUUGUUUCUUGUACUCGGUCAAGAUAAGGCUGCGUACGAUGCACCCUUGAGGUGGUGCCCGCGCAUAGUGGUCGCUUUAGUGCACCGGACUGCCCUUUUUAGUCUGUUCAUAUUAGAAGUCGUAGUAUUGCUCCUGUAUUUCUUGUCCUUUAACUUUUGUUGCUAUUCGUUGUUUCUUGAACUCGGUUAUUGCGUUGUUUCUGUUGUAGUUUCCGUUUUGUUACUAUCUGCUAUUUUUGUUAUUAUUUGUUGUUUCUCAUACUUCCAUAAGUCCUUUUUGGGACCACUUUUGGACUGCGUUUUCAUGAGCUGGUGGUUUAUUGUACACGACCUGUCUACCUCUGAGGUAGGGGUAAGGUCCGCGUACAAUCUACCCUCCGCAGCCCCACUUUCAUGACCGCGUACAAUAUAGUUUUCUUUGUCGUCUGAUUUAUCGCUAUCAUGGCAUGUCGCCCCGACUAUUUCGUUCCAACAGGUGCUUCUCUUGAUUUGAUGGCAAAAAUUGCAAGUACAGAAAACAAGAAGCAAUGGGCAAUCGGACCGAUUUUGCCUACUAAACAAGAUCAUGUAUCAGAUAAGAGAAACAAGUGUUUAGAUUGGCUUGAUAACCAACCUCCAAGAUCAGUUAUUUAUGUAUCUUUUGGAUCAUCAACUACAUUUUCUGAUAAAGAAGUCAUGGAGCUCGCGAUGGGAUUAGAGAGAAGCAAACAGAAGUUUCUAUGGGUGUUGAGACUGCGAACAGCCUGUCUAACCUCUUCUACCUUAAAACGUCUACUUUUAUAGAACACAACCAACAAAAAUGUCUUCAAUAUACCUUCACUUCAUUUCUCAAAUCCUGUUCUUGUUUUCUCCAUGGAUAACAUGAAUAAGAACCUUGAAGUAGUUAUAGUAAUGGUUCCAUUUCCAGCACAAAGCCAUCUCAAUCAACUGCUUCAAUUUGCUUGUUUAAUCUCCUCAUCACACAAUCUUCCUGUUUACUUUGUUGGCUCAGCUAGUCAUAAUCACCAAGCUCGCGUUCGAUCCAACGCGGCGUUAAAUCCAUCAUACAUAGCCAAAAUCCACUUCCAUGACAUCCCAACACCUGAUUUUGACUCACCUGCACCUGAUCCUAAUGCAUUGAGCAAAUUUCCAGCUCAACUCAUACCAUCUUAUAACGCUUGCACGCUUCUUCGAGAGCCGAUCGCUUUGUUGCUUCGUGAACUCUCGACUAAAUCAAGACGAGUUGUCGUUGUUCAUGAUGCUUUAAUGUCCUAUAAUGUUCAGGAUGAUUGUUCCUUGCAUAAUAUGCGAACAGCCUGUCUAACCUCUUCUACCUUAAAACGUCUACUUUUAUAGAACACAACCAACAAAAAUGUCUUCAAUAUACCUUCACUUCAUUUCUCAAAUCCUGUUCUUGUUUUCUCCAUGGAUAACAUGAAUAAGAACCUUGAAGUAGUUAUAGUAAUGGUUCCAUUUCCAGCACAAAGCCAUCUCAAUCAACUGCUUCAAUUUGCUUGUUUAAUCUCCUCAUCACACAAUCUUCCUGUUUACUUUGUUGGCUCAGCUAGUCAUAAUCACCAAGCUCGCGUUCGAUCCAACGCGGCGUUAAAUCCAUCAUACAUAGCCAAAAUCCACUUCCAUGACAUCCCAACACCUGAUUUUGACUCACCUGCACCUGAUCCUAAUGCAUUGAGCAAAUUUCCAGCUCAACUCAUACCAUCUUAUAACGCUUGCACGCUUCUUCGAGAGCCGAUCGCUUUGUUGCUUCGUGAACUCUCGACUAAAUCAAGACGAGUUGUCGUUGUUCAUGAUGCUUUA